rnacentral:lncRNA from 1 species
UUUGACAUGCUUUCCAUGCUAGAUGUUAGGAUUGAAUGUGAUUUAUUUGAUAAUUUUUGAGAUUGUUUGGGUUGACUUUUGAUGCAAGUCAUUCUGUUGACUUUUUUGUGCUUUCAUUUGCCUUACUUUGACUUCAAAUGUUCAUGAAAUGACAAUGAUGCAUGAUUUGGAUGUGGGCCCAAUUCUGAUAGCUUCUUGAAUAU